rnacentral:rRNA from 1 species
GACGGAGGAUGCAAGUGUUAUCCGGAAUCACUGGGCGUAAAGCGUCUGUAGGUGGUUUAAUAAGUCAACUGUUAAAUCUUGAGGCUCAACCUCAAAAUCGCAGUCGAAACUAUUAGGCUAGAGUAUAGUAGGGGUAAAGGGAAUUUCCAGUGGAGCGGUGAAAUGCGUAGAGAUUGGAAAGAACGCCGAUGGCGAAGGCACUUUACUGGGCUAUUACUAACACUCAGAGACGAAAGCUAGGGUAGCAAAUGGGG